rnacentral:rRNA from 1 species
UAAUACGAAGGGUGCAAGCGUUAAUCGGAAUUACUGGGCGUAAAGCGUGCGUAGAUGGUUCGCUAAGUCGGAUGUGAAAGCCCCGGGCUCAACCUGGGAACUGCAUCCGAUACUGGCGGACUAGAGUGUGAUAGAGGAUGGCGGAAUUCCCGGUGUAGCGGUGAAAUGCGUAGAGAUCGGGAGGAACAUCCGUGGCGAAGGCGGCCAUCUGGAUCAACACUGACGUUGAGGCACGAAAGCGUGGGGAGCAAACAGG